rnacentral:tRNA from 1 species
GUUAUCAUAGCUUACGCUCCAAAGCAUAGCACUGAAAAUGCUAAGACGGUUAUCCUGAUUUAACA